rnacentral:rRNA from 1 species
AAAUCGGCGCUAAUACCUCAUAAUGCAGCGGACCGCAUGGGUAUGUUGUUAAAGGUUUACCGCCUUGGGAUAGGCUUGCGUCUGAUUAGCUAGUUGGUGUGGUAACGGCACACCAAGGCUACGAUCAGUAACUGGUCUGAGAGGAUGAUCAGUCACACUGGAACUGAGACACGGUCCAGACUCCUACGGAGGCAGCAGUGAGGAAUAUUGGGCAAUGCACGAAAGUGUGACCCAGCAACGCCGCGUGGAGGAUGAAGGUAUUCUAUAUCGUAAACUCCUGUGAGAGCAGACGAAAGACAGAUUAUUAAUUUGGAUGACUGUAUGCUCAGAGGAAGCCCCGGCUAACUACGUG